CGCGGCGGGGAGUUGUUGCUGCCGCGAUGCUGGUGGCGGCGGCCGCGGAGCGGAACAAGGAUCCCAUCUUGCACGUGCUGCGGCAGUACCUGGAUCCGGCCCAGCGUGGCGUCCGCGUCCUCGAGGUGGCCUCGGGCUCCGGCCAGCACGCAGCGCACUUCGCGCGGGCCUUCCCCCUGGCCGAGUGGCAGCCGUCGGACGUGGACCAGCGCUGCCUGGACAGGUGCGGCCCCCGGGGCGGCCACUUCUAUCGGUGCGGCGGUCCGGGGCCUCAAGAGCCCACGGCCCGCAGCCCCGGAGGAAAAGGAUGCGGCUCGGGCUCUGAGGGUGCGGGGUGGGAGCCUGGGGGUGCCCCCGGGGCAGGCCCUAGCUGUGCGGCCCCCGCGGCUGCGGAAGUGGGUGGACCUCGGGGUCCCCCUUCCCAGCCGCUUUGGUCUCCGCUCCUCAACGUGCCCCCCAGCCUCCCCUAAGAAAUUCUGUGGGGGCGUCGGAAAGGCGGGUGCACAGGACUCGGCCCCCACCCAAGCGUUCGCCUCCUGCAGCAUCGCGGCCACCACGCAAGCCCAGGGCCUGACCAACGUGAAGGCCCCGCUACACCUGGACGUGACGUGGGGCUGGGAGCACUGGGGCGGGAUCCUGCCACAGUCGCUGGACCUGUUGCUCUGCAUCAACAUGGCCCAUGUCAGCCCCCUGCGCUGCACGGAGGGGCUCUUCAGAGCAGCAGGACACCUGCUCAAACCCAGGGCCCUGCUCAUCACCUACGGGGAACCCAGAAUGGGGGCUUCGGGACACAGCCCUCCUGGAGGACCUGGGAAAGGCCAGUGGCCUGCUCCUGGAGAGGAUGGUGGACAUGCCAGCCAACAACAAAUGCCUGAUCUUCCGGAAAAACUAAGCCCCUCCUUCACCCCCGCACACCUGCAUCCCUGCCGGAGGCUCUGUGAGGCACGAACCCUGCCUCCCUAGGCCGGACCUUGUGGACGACAGCCCCACCCAGUCUGUGCUCUCAGCCGCUGGCCGAAGGGCCCAGCCUGCUCAGAAUAAAGCAUGUCCUGCUGCCG
rnacentral:lncRNA from 1 species